CGCUAGGCUUGACCGGGACGUUCGGCGUGCCCUUGUACACCGUGAACCGUCGAUAGCGGGGGUGACAGCGGAGGACGACGUAACUGGAACCGUGCAUGCCCAGUCGUCGACUAUGAGGCUCUGUCCUUCGGGGCCGGCGGCGGUCUCGCGGCGUAGCUGGAGGGCUACGCCCCUGGCCCUGAUCAGGGGGAACGGGUCAGGCCCUGACGGGAGCAGCCUAACCCUGGACUACCGGCGCUCGAAGGGGGGCGGGGCUGAGCAGGCGACUGGAUCACAUGUCCGGGACCAGGCGGCAACCUCCGCGGCCUAGCA
rnacentral:SRP_RNA from 1 species